GAUCUGCUGAGUGCUGAGUUUGA
rnacentral:siRNA from 1 species